rnacentral:lncRNA from 1 species
GGUCACGCUUCAAGAGAUAAGUAUCGAUUUUAUGUUCGAUUAAAAUCUAUAAUUAUGUGUUGUCUAUAUUACAUACAAGUGAUCCUAGCUAUUUACUUUCGCUAUUCCUUUAUUUGUUACAAUUGAAUUGAUGACUGGUUUAAUUUAGUUGUAUAGUGCAACGUUUCUGAUCAAUUAUGCAAACAAUGGGUUUUUGGAUUUUUAAAGUUUGCUGAUAGUUUGGAGGUCCAAUG